CCUACGGGUGGCAGCAGUGAGGAAUAUUGGUCAAUGGGCGCAAGCCUGAACCAGCCAAGUCGCGUGAAGGAAGACGGCCCUAUGGAUUGUACACCUCUUUUGUCGGGGAGCAAAAGCCGCCACGUGUGGCGUGUGGAGAGUACCCGACGAAAAAGCAUCGGCUAACUCCGUGCAAGCAGCCGCGGUAAUACGGAGGAGUCAAGCGUGAUCCGGAUUUAUUGGGUUUAAGGGGUGCGCAGGCGGAAGAUCAGGUCAGCGGGAAAAGCGAGGGGCUCAACCUGAUCCAGCCGUUGAAACUGGUGUUCUAGAGUGUGUUAGAGGUAGGCGGAAUGUGUGGUGUAGCGGUGAAAUGCAUAGAUAUCACGCAGAACACCGAUUGCGAAGGCAGCAUACCGGCGCACAACUGACGCUCAUGCACGAAAGCGUGGGUAGCGAACAGGAUUAGAUACCCCGGUAGUC
rnacentral:rRNA from 1 species